AUUGAACGCUGGCGGCAGGCCUAACACAUGCAAGUCGAGCGAGCGGCGGACGGGUGAGUAAUGUAUGGGGACUGCCCGAUAGAGGGGGAUAACUACUGGAAACGGUGGCUAAUUCCGCAUACUAUCGGAUAACCCAUAUGGGAUUAGCUAGUAGGUGGGGUAAAGGCUCACCUAGGCGACGAUCGCUAGCUGGUCUGAGAGGAUGAUCUGCCACACGGGAACUGAGAAAAGGCCCAAGAUCCUACGGAGGCGGCAGUGGGGAAGAUUGCGGAAUGGACGAAGGUCUGAUGAAGCAAUGCCGCGUGAAGGAAGAGGGCAUUAGGGUUGUAAAAUACUUUUGUCAGGGAGGCGUUAGCUUCAUAGAAAGCCCCGGCUAACGCCGUGCCAGCAGCCGCGGUAAUAC
rnacentral:rRNA from 1 species